GGACGGCGAGCCGCUCACGCCCAACGACCACGACAUCGCGCUCGUGGACGGGUCGUCGCUGCGCAUCCGCGGCGUGCUGGACGUGGACGCAGGCGUGUUCCAGUGCACCGCCGCGUCCGCCGCCGGCAGCGCCGCCGCCGCGCUGCGGCUGCUCGUCGCGCCGCACGGUAUGU
rnacentral:lncRNA from 1 species